GGGCCCAUAGUAAAAUGGUAUUACGCGGCCAUGGCAUGGCUGAGGUCCGGGUCCGAUUCCCGGUGGGUCCACCA
rnacentral:tRNA from 6 species